AACUUUCUGGCUGUCUUUAGAAGAUACCCUCUACUAGUCACUUGACGGGCAGGAGGUGCAACGCGGAAGGAAACAUCACGGAUUGGGGGUACUGGAAACUUUUAAAAGGUCUGGAAAAUCCCUCCGAUUUAGUGGAUGCUUUUCCGCGGCAGUUUAAAAACUGAAAGGCAACAUAGAAGCUUCUACUUUAAAAAGGUAGCCCUGGUGAUCCAAUCCCGAUCUUUUGGCUGGCAAAGAGGCAAUUGCCUGAAAACGAAAUUGGCAUUCAAAAAGGGUCAGGUACAGCCCAGAGUCCCUGUACUCAUUUUAGACUCAAGAAAAGGCGCUUCCCAUCCCUAGCUCUUUUAGAAAGAGAAAGGAAAAGGAGGAGAAAGCAGAAAGGGGGGAGAGCCGAGAGCGCAAGAAA
rnacentral:lncRNA from 1 species